rnacentral:rRNA from 1 species
UAGUAACGGCGAGUGAAGCGGCAAUAGCUCAAAUUUGAAAUCUACUCUUUUCAAGGGUCGAAUUGUAAUUUGUAGAGGAUGCUUCGGCUUAUGUUUCGGUCUAAGUUCCUUGGAACAGGACGUCAUAGAGGGUGAGAAUCCCGUAUGUGGCCGAGACUUCCGCCAUGUGAAGCUCCUUCGACGAGUCGAGUUGUUUGGGAAUGCAGCUCUAAAUGGGAGGUAUAUUUCUUCUAAAGCUAAAUACUGGCCAGAGACCGAUAGCGCACAAGUAGAGUGAUCGAAAGAUGAAAAGCACUUUGGAAAGAGAGUUAAAAAGUACGUGAAAUUGUUGAAAGGGAAGCGCUUGCGACCAGACUUGCUUACAGAUGCUCAACCGGUCCUUCGGCCGGUGCACUCUUCUGUAAUCAGGCCAGCAUCAGUUCGAGUAGUCAGAUAAAGACUUUGGGAAUGUGGCUCUCUUCGGGGAGUGUUAUAGCCCUUUGUACAAUAUGGCUCACUUGGACUGAGGCCCGCGCUUCGGCUAGGAUGCUGGCGUAAUGGUCGUAAGCGGCCCGUCUUGAAACACGGACCAAGGAGUCUAACAUCUAUGCGAGUGUUUGGGUGUCAAACCCGUGCGCGAAAUGAAAGUGAACGGAGGUGGGAACCUUUGGGUGCACCAUCGACCGAUCCUGAUGUCUUCGGAUGGAUUUGAGUAAGAGCAUAGCUGUUGGGACCCGAAAGGUGAGAAAAUUUUACCCAUCCUAAAAAUGUUAAAAUCAAUUGCUAAUAUGUUUAAAAUAGAUGGUGAACUAUGCCUGAAUAGGGUGAAGCCAGAGGAAACUCUGGUGGAGGCUCGCAGCGGUUCUGACGUGCAAAUCGAUCGUCAAAUUUGGGUAUAGGGGCGAAAGUAAGUUGAUACUUUAAAUCAUUUUAUCAAUUGAAUAUAUAUAACUAACCCACUUUUUAGGACUAAUCGAACCAUUAUUAUUCCUACUAGGUGGUUAAGAGGCAGCUAAAAGUGUCUGUCUAGUCCUUCCAUUCGGGGCAACACCGUCAAAUUGCGGGGACUUCCUUAGAGUCUGAACUACCGCUCAUUAGUCGAAAGAUGUAAUGUAGCACCAGGUUAAUGACCUCGGGUAUGGUAAAAACGUUCAGAAUUGGAUGAUCCGCAGCCAAGUCCUAACCCACUUUUGUUCAAAAAGGUGAUAUGGAUGCAGUUCACAGACUAAAUGUCGGUGGGUAUCGCCUAUUUUAUAAUGGGUUGAUGCUUAAGAUAUAGUCGAUCCCCCAUGGAAACAUGGGCAGUUGGCCAAAGUCUUAUAGGCGGAUGGGUGCCUAAUCUUUAGGCAUGUUUGUAAGACCCGAAGCCAAUUGAGAAGUUUAAUUCUCUCAAAAAAA